rnacentral:rRNA from 1 species
GCACCCCUGAUCUUUGAGAAUCAGAAGGAUCCUUAUCGAGUUUCCAUUUCUUCAUUUGGAAUCUGGGCUCUUCUAUCUUCGAAUUAUUUUUUUGGCUUUAUUCUUUAUUUAUUUCAUUUCGAUUUUCUCUUCCUCUAUCCCUAUCCUAUAGGUACAACGUUUGCAUCAAUAGAGAACCUUUUCCUCUGUAUGAAUCUAUAUCAUUCCAAUUUCUUCCGGAAACUUCCCUAGAAAAAUCCCGAAUUGGAUCCAAAAUUGACGGGUUAA